AUGCAGGUCGAGUCUUCACAUAAAAAACCUUUCCCUCCGACGAAGGCUUUAUUUUGGAAUAUUAGAGGUUUCGGUGCUAGGGGGCGCAGGGACCAGCUCAAAGAUCUUGUUCGGUCUGAGAACAUUGACAUCAUUGGUCUUGUAGAAACGCUUAAAUCUUCUUUCUCUCCUAAUGAACUUUGUGUCGUUGCUGGGAUUGAUAGGUUUGACUGGAAUUUUCUGCCUUCUUCAGGCCACUCGGGUGGAAUUCUUAUUGGUACUAAGAGAGACAUGUUUGAUUUUGUGGCCUUCGAUCAUGGCAUUUUUUGGGCUAGCACAGUAGAGUCUCAUCGCUCCCUCAAUAUGAUUUGGGAAGUCAUGGUUGUCUAUGGCCCGACUGACCACUCCCUUUCUUAUAUUUUCUUGGACGAAAUUCUAAAAAAGAUCAAAUCUUUUGGAGACGUAUCACUUAUUGGUGGUGACUUUAAUUUGAUGUGCUCUCCUCUGGAUAAAAACUCUCCUUACAUUUCUUGGCCGCUUGCUGACGUGUUUAACGCUUUUAUUCCUGAUUCCACAAUCCGUGAAGUGUCUAGGGUGGGUGAGGGAGUCCUGGAUUAA
rnacentral:rRNA from 1 species